UACAGAGGGUGCAAACGUUGUUCGGAAUCACUGGGCAUAAAGCGCGCGUAGGCGGCUCAUCAAGUGCAGAGUGAAAUCCCACGGCUUACCCGUGGAACUGCCCUGUAUACUGACGAGCUAGAGGACGGUAGGGGAGAGCGGAACUCUUGGUGGAGCGGUGAAAUGCGUAGAUAUCAAGAGGAACACCGAUGGCGAAGGCAGCUCUCUGGUCCGUUUCUGACGCUGAGGCGCGAAAGCUAGGGUAGCAAACGGGAUUAGAUACCCCGGUAGUCCUAGCCGUAAACGAUGGGCACCAGCUAGAGGUCCCCACCUGUGGGAUCUCUGGCGAAGCAAAUGUAAUCAGUGCCCCGCCUGGGGAGUAUGGUCGCAAGGCUGAA
rnacentral:rRNA from 1 species